GGGUGUUGAUUAUCUCAAGUAUGAUAAUUGUAACAAUGGUGGAAUAAAGCCUCUUCAAAGAUAUCCUAUUAUGACUCGAGCUUUGAUGAAGGCAGGCCGUCCAAUCUACUUCUCAUUAUGUGAAUGGGGAGACAUGCACCCUGCAUUAUGGGGUUUUCCAGUGGGAAAUAGCUGGAGAACUAGUGAUGACAUUGAUGAUAACUGGGG